AGGGCAAGUCUGGUGCCAGCAGCCGCGGUAAUUCCAGCUCCAAUAGCGUAUAUUAAAGUUGUUGCAGUUAAAAAGCUCGUAGUUGAAUUUCGGGAUCAAUCUAUCGGUCGUGCAAUAGUACGUACUGAUUUUAUUGAUUCCUCCCUUCUGAUGAACUAUGAUGUCAUUAAUUUGGUGUCAUAGGGAAUCAGGACUGUUACCUUGAAAAAAUUAGAGUGUUUAAAGCAGGCUCACGCUUGAAUACAUUAGCAUGGAAUAACGAAAUAGGACGUUUGAUUCUAUUUUGUUGGUUUCUAGGAUCGACGUAAUGAUUAAUAGGGAUAGUUGGGGGCAUUAGUAUUCAAUUGUCAGAGGUGAAAUUCUUGGAUUUAUUGAAGACUAACUACUGCGAAAGCAUUUGCCAAGGAUGUUUUCAUUAAUCAAGAACGAAAGUUAGGGGAUCGAAGACGAUCAGAUACCGUCGUAGUCUUAACCAUAAACUAUGCCGACUAGGGAUCGGAUGAUGUUAAUUUUUUAAUGACUCAUUCGGCGCCUUACGGGAA
rnacentral:rRNA from 1 species